rnacentral:snRNA from 1 species
CGCAAACGUCCUGACCUA